AACACCUAUGGGUCGACCUGUGCGCGGUUGACUUUGAUCGGAGUUGUUAGGAUAACAGCCUUAGACAGUUCGUGCGCGGCUGAACCUUUGUUGAAUAAGGCGUUGAAGCCUUGUUCAUGUGUGAUCGGUCGGAGGUUUUUCUCAAACCGAUUUGGAGUGCCCGGCAUACCGUUUAAGUUUCAAGGGUCAAUCGUUGAGGGAGUACCCUUAAAAAUAUGAGUAUAAGGGUGUUAGACAAUGGUGGUAAUAUGUUUAGAUAUUUAUUAUUUCAUGUUGUCGAUAUGUGAAAGAUCUAUACACUUCUAGGUGUUGAAUUUUUUCAGAAAAUAUGUCGACUAAUGCUAUUUGAAAUGAGCUCAAGUUUCAGUUAUGGGGAGAACUGCUACUCCAACCCCUGGUGUUCCAACAAUCCCGAUGGCUCAUGUGGAACCAACCAAAAAAAAUUGGUGGGGUUGAUUUAAGAAAUGGAAGGCAGAGAGAUGUUAUAUCUUAACGACGCUGACGCUGAAUCUCACUGGAUGCUUAAAUGAAGAAGCUCCUUGUACUAAAAAUGAGACGAAGAAUCUAAGAAGGUGAUUGCGAGAGAUCACUGGAAAGAAGCUGACUAUUGUGCAAAGAAUAUAUUCUUCAAUGCCUGGGGCAUUCUUUGUACUCGGUGUCACUGGAUAUGAAAUUGCUAGGAUUGUGGGAGUCCUUAGACAAAAAUACAGAUCGAGUAGGGCUGGUUCCAAGAAGAGUUUUUUGUUGGCCGGUUUCUUAAGACUAUGUAAUGCGGCACGAGAUCGGUGACGAAUCAGUUUCCAGUAAUCCAGGUUCUCAUUAAAAAAUCAAAGCAGAAAGAAUGCUAUUGAGGAGGCAUUUCUAGUUGGCUGCGGUCAUCACAAGCUUCCCGAGACAUGGAAAGAGUUCAAGAGUUAUCUCAUGUUCAAGACAAGGAGCUGCCCUUGGAGGCUCUUUUUUUCAGCCAAUGUUGAGGAGGAAAAUAGGGUAAGAAACAAAUGUGUCAAACCCUCCUACAUGGCCAAGGUAACAUCAUAGGAGUAGGGUCAGGUUUCGAAGACGAAGAAGUAUAGGACAGUGGUCAAAAAACCAGAAAGGCAAGAGUGUCAAACUGGAAUCCAAAAAGGGGGACGAUUGCCAAGGAAGCCCAUGGACAAGCUUUUUUCAAGGUCCAUGCUUUAACUGUAACAAGUUGGGUAUCGUGCUUUUGAGUGUAGAAAACCCAAUGCAACCUCGAGCCUCACGCACAUAUGACUGAGGUUAUCACCGAGGGGUAGAUGAUAUCAACCUUCGGCCAUGGUGUCUGAGCGAAUAUGGUGGAGUCAAACACACAAGGGAAGGGUGGAUAGACACUGGGGCUAACUCGCCAUGUCUGUUGAUAGACGGAUGUUCACUACCUUCAAGCUAGCGGCAAAGGUGAGAAGGGUUUUGAAAAAAUUCAGCCACAUCCGACGUUGAGGGGAUAUGAAAAAGUCGUCCUGAAACUGAUUCAUGAAAGGAGCGGAUCGAACAAUGGGUUAUUCGUUUGACGUGUGAGGAUACGGAAGUUAAUCUGGUGUACUGGCUCUCUAUUGAAAGACAUGGUUUCGUAUGAUUUGUGAGGCAGAAAGAAGUACCGUUCAAAGGCUCGGAAUGUCUGUAGGGAGGUUAUAUAAUCGAUGGUCUAUUCACAAAUAAAUGUAAUGACGGAAUCCUUACAAUUAAUAAGAAACAAAUUCAGUUGUUUAUGUGCUGAGUCUUCCAUUUGUGGCAUGGUAGCUAGGGAAUGUUAAUUAUAGAUUCUAUGCGUAGACUAAUUACUUGGAAUCACAGUCAGCAUUCCAAUUGCAUAAAAAUUCCAAGUGUGAGUUGUGUUGAAGCAAAAUUAACUAGGUCUUCAUUUCAAUUCGAUUGAAAGAAGUACCGAACCAUUAAUUUUUAAUUCACACUGGAUGUUGUGAUUAAAGUAUUUCCAAACACCCAAUAACUAAUAAAGAUUCAUACAGUUCAUUGAUGAUUGUACGCAAUUAUUAUGUGUGUACUUUGCUAAAGAGUAAGGAUGAAACUUUUGGACAAAUUUCAUUUCUAUAAGAAUGAAGUAGAAAUCAACUUAAGCAAAGAUAAGGUUGGUGUGAAGUGCCUGAGGUCGUGAAAUGGAUCACUGUUUGAGGAUUACUAUGGAGAAUACGGAAUUAUUUAUCAAACCACUGGAACCUUAUUCUCUUUAGCAGAUGGAACUGUUGAACGAAAGAAUCGUACCCUAAAAGAUAUGAUGAAUACUAUGUUGAUAAGUUCUAGAUGCCUCGAACAGUGGAGUGAAGCGAUCUCACUGCCAACUAUAGCUUGAAUAUAAUGCCCUCGCAGAAUUGGAAUAAAAACCCCUAUGGUUUUUAAAGUAGGGAGUCCUACUUAUAACUUUAAACGUACAUGUGGUGUCUUACGAAGGUGCCAUACCUCCUCUAAGAAGGAAAAGAUUGGUCCAAAACCUUUUGAUUGGUGUCAUUCGGUUAGGCACAAAAUAGCAGUGCAUAUCGAUUCUUGUUGUAUGAGUCUACAAUACCAGAUAUCAAUAAGCAUACCGCCAUUGAGUCUAUGAAUUGCAUCGUUUUUCGAACAUAUAAUUUCCAGAUAGAUCCAUUGUUAUGUGGUCGAGUUCAUUUAAUGGACUCUACUCCGCUAAUGAACAGUCAACCAAGACCAAAAAGAUGAAUUUGAAUGAAUUGAGAUGUAGCAAGAGAGCUAGAAUGUAAAAUCCUUUUGGUCCAAACUUCCUAACUUUAAGAUGUAGAAAGUUGAGUCCCUCAGACUAUAAGGAACGUGAGCUGUCCCUGAAGGUCCUUGUGGAAAUAGGCUAUUUAAGAGUGAGAUUGAAUCCAUUUCUUCUGCAAAAUCGACGUGAGAACUAGUAAAUUUACCGCAAGGCAGUAAGCCUUUGGGCUACAAUGGAUCUUCCCAAAGGACGUGAAAGCAGAUGGAUCAAUAAUAAGUAUAAAGGAAAAAAAAAAAAAAAACAAAAAGCUAGUUUGUUAUCAAGGAUUAUAGACAAAAAGAAGGUCAGACUAUUUUGAUACUUAUUCACCAUUUCGAGAAUUACAUCAAUUCUGAUGAUAAUUUGCGAUCGCAGCUCUUGCGAAAUCUCGAGAUAAAAUCGUAUGGAUGUAAAGACAAAACCGCUUUCCUGAAUGAGAUUAGAUGAAGAAAUCUACAUGGAACAACCGAGGGUUUUUCCGCACGGUGGGAAAGAAGAAAAAGUCUGUAGACUGUAAGAUCAUUGUAUGGUCUCAUCAAGCACCGAAACAAUGGCAUGAGAAGUUUGACAAUGUUGUAUUUGUCUAUGCUACAAAAAUCAACGAAUGGUGAUAAAUGUGUAUAUGUCGAACACAGACGCAGGGUACGUCAUAGUUUGUAUCUUACAUUGAUGACAUAAUUAUUGUUGUAUAACGAUAAAGUUAUCAAAUCUACCAAAGAUAAUUAAAUUCGAAAUUUGAUAUAAGGAUUCGGGGCCUAAGAGAUGGAUUCUGGGUGUGAAGAUUACCAGAACCUCUGACGACUUUCAAACUUUCUCAGUACACACAUAUUGGAUAAAAUUUUAAAAACGAAAUUCAAUAGUCUGAUACGAAUGUGCAGGACUCCCGUAGAUGUAAAUCUCCAUUUAUCAAGAAUGGGGAAUGUGAAUCUCAAUUGGAGUAUUCCUCCGUAUAAUUGGGAGUUUAAUGUACUUGAUAAGUUAUACAAGACCAAUAUAGCUUACCUCGUGAGCAGACUGGGCAGGUACACGAAUAAUUUAGGAGUGAUCACUGAAAGAGAUAGUAGGUUACUAACGUUAUUUAAGAUAUACUUGGAUUUGGCUGCACACACCAGAUUUCUAGCAGUACAGAAAGGUAAUUGCGAUGCAAACUGGAUAUCGGAUAGGAAAGACUCGAAUCCAGAGUGGAUAUGUCUUCUCAGGCUGGUGGUGGCAGUAGUGUCAUUAAAAUCUUCCAAACAGAUGUGCAUUUCACGUUCUAAACGAUGAAAUUAGAGUUAUUGUCUCUAGAUAAGGCGACUGUAAGAAGUCCGAGUGUCUAUGCCAGUUUUGAAAGAGUAUUCCAAGUGGUCGAAACCUGUGUCUGCGAUUACCAUCCACUACGAUAGUCAGUCUGUGAUUGGUAGGGUACAAGUAAUAUUAUAUAUGAUAAGUCUAGACAUAUUCGUCGUAGGCAUAAUACCUUAGACAACGCUCUCAAACCUGGGAUUGUCGCUAUUAAAUUUAUGUGAGGUCAAAAGGACAAUAUUGCUAUCCCGCUUACCAAAGGGUUACCUAGAGAGUUAUUGAUCUAGCAUUGAAGGAAUGAGUUAAAGCUUAUACAAGAAAAAAAUAGCGUGAAGGAAAACCCAACCGAGCUGACUGGAGAUUCCAAAAUCUAGAUUCAAUGGGACAACCUACUUGCUAUAUCUAAGAUAUUCACUAUCACUAUGGGGGUGGGGGGGUAGAGUUUGAAAACUCCUACCUGUUUCCUAUUAUUCAACAGUGAUUGGGGAUAAGAUUAAGCAUGUUUUUAAUGACUCGUUGCACUUGGUGAGCCAGUCUGGAUAUAGUGAAAUAUCCAUAUAAGAAGUCACCUAUGUGAGUAUGAAGUAGGGGGCCGCUUCUUUGAAAAUUUUGGAAGGCGAAAUUUUUGAGAAAAUACUUGUAGAACGAGGAAGAGUGUUUUCAUGCUAAAAUGACACAAUAAUGAAACUGAAAUUGUAUCACAGAAGUUUCUAUGUGACGUCUAUGUCUCAUUCACCCUCGCGGCACAGUUCAAGUGGGCUCGUCCACUGGUCUGCCAGUAAUCCCGAUAGUCCUCGUCACAAGGGAAGGUUGCAAGGCCAAAAAGCUUACCUAUCUUAAUGCAGGAAUUAUCCAUUGUCUCUCUCUCACGUCUUGUCAUCGGUCUGGCAUGAAUUUUCAUGUCAUGGGGAGAUUGUUAGAAUUUUGUGUGAAUGAAAGCCUAAAAAAGAGUGGUAUUAACAACUUCUAAAGCAGCUAUUAUAAAGCCAAAGAGUAUCUGCUUUACAGCCCUAAUGGCUGCAUUAUUUGGGCCAUAACACACCUCUAGUGGCUGUCAUGAUGGGCAGCCAUAAGCAUCCUCAUGAUGGGGGUCUUUGGCUAGGAGUUACAAGAUUAAUAGGGUCUUUGGUGCCUAUAAUGCUGAGACUUUGCACUGAGCAAAUACACAACAAACCCACAAUAUACAAACAUUUGAGUUCUUGAGAGAGAUAGACAAAUACAGUUUAGUUCGCCAAGUUGCCUGCUUCGAGGUGUUCCUAAGUUUAGUGGUUCUAGCGUUUUUAAUCCUGGGAGGAAAGACUUCGACAUACCCUACCAACAUCUCGGUAGGCGAACAUCCUUCUUAAGGAGACUACAAUUGCAGGACUUCGGCAAUACUCUGUUUGUAUCUCUUAUAUUUUAGUUUCUGUAAUUUUAAUUUUUGUAAUUUGUUUUGAUUAAUGAAAAUUAUGCUUUGAAAUUCUGUAUUGGCCGAAUCAAUUUUUUUCAACAAUUGCAACGACGACCAAUUUCGACCACUGCCAGCCUCCAUAAUUAGGGCCCUAGUUCGACC
rnacentral:lncRNA from 1 species